rnacentral:rRNA from 1 species
AACGAACGCUGGCGGCAUGCCUAACACAUGCAAGUCGAACGAGACCUUCGGGUCUAGUGGCGCACGGGUGCGUAACGCGUGGGAACCUGCCCUUAGGUUCGGAAUAACUCCCUGAAAGGGGAGCUAAUACCGGAUAAUGUCUUCGGACCGAAGAUUUAUCGCCUUUGGAUGGGCCCGCGUUGGAUUAGGUAGUUGGUUGGGUAAAAGCCUACCAAGGCGACGAUCCAUAGCUGGUCUGAGAGGAUGAUCAGCCACACUGGGACUGAGACACGGCCCAGACUCCGACGGGAGGCAGCAGUAGGGAAUAUUGGACAAUGGGCGAAAGCCUGAGCCAGCAAUGCCGCGUGAGUGAUGAAGGCCUUAGGGUUGUAAAGCUCUUUUACCCGGGAUGAUAAUGACAGUACCGGGAGAAUAAGCUCCGGCUAACUCCGUG